AUAAUACUCCCUCCGUCCCAAAAUUCUUGUCUUAUUGUUUAGAAAUUGAUGCAUCAAAAUACUAAAACGUGACUAGAUACAUUCAUAUCUAGACAAACCUAAGACAUGAAUUAUAGGACGGAGGGAGUAUAUU
rfam:Hordeum vulgare subsp. vulgare, WGS project CAJW01000000 data, contig: morex_contig_49530